rnacentral:siRNA from 1 species
CGAUAUAUGUAGGGUUGCCUG